rnacentral:rRNA from 1 species
AGUGGGGGAUAACGUUCGGAAACGGACGCUAAUACCGCAUACGUCCUACGGGAGAAAGCAGGGGACCUUCGGGCCUUGCGCUAUCAGAUGAGCCUAGGUCGGAUUAGCUAGUUGGUGAGGUAAUGGCUCACCAAGGCUACGAUCCGUAACUGGUCUGAGAGGAUGAUCAGUCACACUGGAACUGAGACACGGUCCAGACUCCUACGGGAGGCAGCAGUGGGGAAUAUUGGACAAUGGGCGAAAGCCUGAUCCAGCCAUGCCGCGUGUGUGAAGAAGGUCUUCGGAUUGUAAAGCACUUUAAGUUGGGAGGAAGGGCAUUAACCUAAUACGUUAGUGCUUUGACGU